CAGUCGCCGCGGUAAUACGAAGGGGGCUAGCGUUGCUCGGAAUUACUGGGCGUAAAGGGCGCGUAGGCGGACAGUUCAGUCGGGGGUGAAAGCCCGGGGCUCAACCUCGGAAUUGCCUUCGAUACUGGCUGUCUUGAGUAUGAGAGAGGUGUGUGGAACUCCGAGUGUAGAGGUGAAAUUCGUAGAUAUUCGGAAGAACACCAGUGGCGAAGGCGACACACUGGCUCAUCACUGACGCUGAGGCGCGAAAGCGUGGGGAGCAAACAGGAUUAGAUACCCCAGUAGUCCCUGUCUCUUAUAC
rnacentral:rRNA from 1 species